GAUGAACGCUGGCGGCGUGCCUAAUACAUGCAAGUCGAGCGAACGGACGAGAAGCUUGCUUCUCUGAUGUUAGCGGCGGACGGGUGAGUAACACGUGGAUAACCUACCUAUAAGACUGGGAUAACUUCGGAAAACCGGAGCUAAUACCGGAUAAUAUUUUGAACCGCAUGGUUCAAAAGUAAAAGACGGUCUUGCUGUCACUUAUAGAUGGAUCCGCGCUGCAUUAGCUAGUUGGUAAGGUAACGGCUUACCAAGGCAACGAUGCAUAGCCGACCUGAGAGGGUGAUCGGCCACACUGGAACUGAGACACGGUCCAGACUCCUACGGGAGGCAGCAGUAGGGAAUCUUCCGCAAUGGGCGAAAGCCUGACGGAGCAACGCCGCGUGAGUGAUGAAGGUCUUCGGAUCGUAAAACUCUGUUAUUAGGGAAGAACAUAUGUGUAAGUAACUGUGCACAUCUUGACGGUACCUAAUCAGAAAGCCACGGCUAACUACGUG
rnacentral:rRNA from 1 species